rnacentral:rRNA from 1 species
AACGGUGAGUGCUUUGGGGUGGGGUGACUGCGUACCUUUUGUAUAAUGGGUCAGCGACUUAUAUUCUGUAGCAAGGUUAACCGUAUAGGGGAGCCGAAGGGAAACCGAGUCUUAACCGGGCGUUAAGUUGCAGGGUAUAGACCCGAAACCCGGUGAUCUAGCCAUGGGCAGGUUGAAGGUUGGGUAACACUAACUGGAGGACCGAACCGACUAAUGUUGAAAAAUUAGCGGAUGACCUGUGGCUGGGGGUGAAAGGCCAAUCAAACCGGGAGAUAGCUGGUUCUCCCCGAAAGCUAUUUAGGUAGCGCCUCGUGAAUUCAUCUCCGGGGGUAGAGCACUGUUUCGGCUAGGGGGCCAUCCCGGCUUACCAACCCGAUGCAAACUGCGAAUACCGGAGAAUGUUAUCACGGGAGACACACGGCGGGUGCUAACGUCCGUCGUGAAGAGGGAAACAACCCAGACCGCCAGCUAAGGUCCCAAAGUCAUGGUUAAGUGGGAAACGAUGUGGGAAGGCCCAGACAGCCAGGAUGUUGGCUUAGAAGCAGCCAUCAUUUAAAGAAAGCGUAAUAGCUCACUGGUCGAGUCGGCCUGCGCGGAAGAUGUAACGGGGCUAAACCAUGCACCGAAGCUGCGGCAGCGACACUAUGUGUUGUUGGGUAGGGGAGCGUUCUGUAAGCCUGCGAAGGUGGCCUGUGAGGGUUGCUGGAGGUAUCAGAAGUGCGAAUGCUGACAUAAGUAACGAUAAAGCGGGUGAAAAGCCCGCUCGCCGGAAGACCAAGGGUUCCUGUCCAACGUUAAUCGGGGCAGGGUGAGUCGACCCCUAAGGCGAGGCCGAAAGGCGUAGUCGAUGGGAAACGGGUUAAUAUUCCCGUACUUGGUGUUACUGCGAAGGGGGGACGGAGAAGGCUAUGUUGGCCGGGCGACGGUUGUCCCGGUUUAAGCGUGUAGGUGUGUGUUCCAGGUAAAUCCGGUUCACUUUAACACUGAGGCGUGACGACGAGGCACUACGGUGCUGAAGCAACAAAUGCCCUGCUUCCAGGAAAAGCCUCUAAGCAUCAGGUAACAUCAAAUCGUACCCCAAACCGACACAGGUGGUCAGGUAGAGAAUACCAAGGCGCUUGAGAGAACUCGGGUGAAGGAACUAGGCAAAAUGGUGCCGUAACUUCGGGAGAAGGCACGCUGACACGUAGGUGAAGUGAUUUACUCACGGAGCUGAAGUCAGUCGAAGAUACCAGCUGGCUGCAACUGUUUAUUAAAAACACAGCACUGUGCAAACACGAAAGUGGACGUAUACGGUGUGACGCCUGCCCGGUGCCGGAAGGUUAAUUGAUGGGGUCAGCGCAAGCGAAGCUCCUGAUCGAAGCCCCGGUAAACGGCGGCCGUAACUAUAACGGUCCUAAGGUAGCGAAAUUCCUUGUCGGGUAAGUUCCGACCUGCACGAAUGGCGUAAUGAUGGCCAGGCUGUCUCCACCCGAGACUCAGUGAAAUUGAACUCGCUGUGAAGAUGCAGUGUACCCGCGGCAAGACGGAAAGACCCCGUGAACCUUUACUAUAGCUUGACACUGAACAUUGAGCCUUGAUGUGUAGGAUAGGUGGGAGGCUUUGAAGCGUGGACGCCAGUCUGCGUGGAGCCGACCUUGAAAUACCACCCUUUAAUGUUUGAUGUUCUAACGUGGACCCGUGAUCCGGGUUGCGGACAGUGUCUGGUGGGUAGUUUGACUGGGGCGGUCUCCUCCUAAAGAGUAACGGAGGAGCACGAAGGUUGGCUAAUCCUGGUCGGACAUCAGGAGGUUAGUGCAAUGGCAUAAGCCAGCUUGACUGCGAGCGUGACGGCGCGAGCAGGUGCGAAAGCAGGUCAUAGUGAUCCGGUGGUUCUGAAUGGAAGGGCCAUCGCUCAACGGAUAAAAGGUACUCCGGGGAUAACAGGCUGAUACCGCCCAAGAGUUCAUAUCGACGGCGGUGUUUGGCACCUCGAUGUCGGCUCAUCACAUCCUGGGGCUGAAGUAGGUCCCAAGGGUAUGGCUGUUCGCCAUUUAAAGUGGUACGCGAGCUGGGUUUAGAACGUCGUGAGACAGUUCGGUCCCUAUCUGCCGUGGGCGCUGGAGAACUGAGGGGGGCUGCUCCUAGUACGAGAGGACCGGAGUGGACGCAUCACUGGUGUUCGGGUUGUCAUGCCAAUGGCACUGCCCGGUAGCUAAAUGCGGAAGAGAUAAGUGCUGAAAGCAUCUAAGCACGAAACUUGCCCCGAGAUGAGUUCUCCCUGAGACUUUAGGUCUCCUGAAGGAACGUUGAAGACGACGACGUUGAUAGGCCGGGUGUGUAAGCGCAGCGAUGCGUUGAGCUAACCGGUACUAAUGAACCGUGAGGCUUAACCUU